GUUUCUUCUUCCUGCUUCCUGAAUUUUAUCUCUCUGCUUUUCCUAUUUUCCCUCUUUUAUUAGCUUUGCGAGCAUUUUCCAAAUAUGAAAUCUCCAUAUACAGCAGAGAUUUUUCAGUUACAUUUGCCUGUUUAGUCUACAUCCUGAUCAUGCAAUUUUGAAUGAGCUUGAAUAUCUACUGUAAAAUGUUUGUAUUAUUUGC
rnacentral:misc_RNA from 1 species